rnacentral:rRNA from 1 species
GACGAACGCUGGCGGCGUGCUUAACACAUGCAAGUCGAACGGAAAGGCCCUGCUUUUGUGGGGUGCUCGAGUGGCGAACGGGUGAGUAACACGUGAGUAACCUGCCCUUGACUUUGGGAUAACUUCAGGAAACUGGGGCUAAUACCGGAUAGGAGCUCCUGCUGCAUGGUGGGGGUUGGAAAGUUUCGGCGGUUGGGGAUGGACUCGCGGCUUAUCAGCUUGUUGGUGGGGUAGUGGCUUACCAAGGCUUUGACGGGUAGCCGGCCUGAGAGGGUGACCGGCCACAUUGGGACUGAGAUACGGCCCAGACUCCUACGGGAGGCAGCAGUGGGGAAUAUUGCACAAUGGGCGGAAGCCUGAUGCAGCAACGCCGCGUGCGGGAUGACGGCCUUCGGGUUGUAAACCGCUUUCGCCUGUGACGAAGCGUGAGUGACGGUAAUGGGUAAAGAAGCACCGGCUAACUACGUGCCAGCAGCCGCGGUGAUACGUAGGGUGCGAGUGUUGUCCGGAUUUAUUGGGCGUAAAGGGCUCGUAGGUGGUUGAUCGCGUCGGAAGUGUAAUCUUGGGGCUUAACCCUGAGCGUGCUUUCGAUACGGGUUGACUUGAGGAAGGUAGGGGAGAAUGGAAUUCCUGGUGGAGCGGUGGAAUGCGCAGAUAUCAGGAGGAACACCAGUGGCGAAGGCGGUUCUCUGGGCCUUUCCUGACGCUGAGGAGCGAAAGCGUGGGGAGCGAACAGGCUUAGAUACCCUGGUAGUCCACGCUGUAAACGGUGGGUACUAGGUGUGGGGUCCAUUCCACGGGUUCCGUGCCGUAGCUAACGCUUUAAGUACCCCGCCUGGGGAGUACGGCCGCAAGGCUAAAACUCAAAGGAAUUGACGGGGCCCCGCACAAGCGGCGGAGCAUGCGGAUUAAUUCGAUGCAACGCGUAGAACCUUACCUGGGUUUGACAUGGAUCGGGAGUGCUCAGAGAUGGGUGUGCCUCUUUUGGGGUCGGUUCACAGGUGGUGCAUGGCUGUCGUCAGCUCGUGUCGUGAGAUGUUGGGUUAAGUCCCGCAACGGGCGCAACCCUUGUUCACUGUUGCCAGCACGUUAUGGUGGGGACUCAGUGGAGACCGCCGGGGUCAACUCGGAGGAAGGUGGGGAUGACGUCAAGUCAUCAUGCCCCUUAUGUCCAGGGCUUCACGCAUGCUACAAUGGCUGGUACAGAGAGUGGCGAGCCUGUGAGGGUGCGCGAAUCUCGGAAAGCCGGUCUCAGUUCGGAUUGGGGUCUGCAACUCGACCUCAUGAAGUCGGAGUCGCUAGUAAUCGCAGAUCAGCAACGCUGCGGUGAAUACGUUCCCGGG